rnacentral:rRNA from 1 species
CCUACGGGUGGCAGCAGUCGAGAAUCAUUCACAAUGGGGGAAACCCUGAUGGUGCGACGCCGCGUGGGGGAAUGAAGGUCUUCGGAUUGUAAACCCCUGUCAUGUGGGAGCAAAUUAAAAAGAUAGUACCACAAGAGGAAGAGACGGCUAACUCUGUGCCAGCAGCCGCGGUAAUACAGAGGUCUCAAGCGUUGUUCGGAAUCACUGGUCGUAAAGCGUGCGUAGGCUGUUUCGUAAGUCGUGUGUGAAAGGCGCGGGCUCAACCGGCGGACGGCACAUGAUACUGCGAGACUAGAGUACUGGUGGGGGAAGCGGAAUUCGCGGUGUAGCAGUGAAAUGCGUAGAUAUCGAGAGGAACACUCGUGGCGAAGGCGGGUUCCUGGACAUUCACUGACGCUGAGGCACGAAGGCGAGGGGAGCGAAAGGGAUUAGAUACCCCUGUAGUC